CUGGGAGUAGCUCAGUGGUACGGUACGUGCUUAGCAUGCAUGAGGCCCUGGGUUCAAACCUCAGCACCAGA
rnacentral:tRNA from 1 species